AUCAGAUAUACAGGUAAUACAAAAACGAAUAAAUUACCUCAUCCGUGAUCGUGAUUCGUUUAUCCAAUUUAGAUACAUUGCUAUGGUGAAAACGCAUUAAAAACGACAUCUCCCAUCGUCACCUGGUUCAUAGCGUCAUCAAGCUUUGCCUUUGUUAUUGUUGGAAAUGCGCCCUCUUGUGGUCAAUUACAAAAAUCGCAUAUUGCAUCUUUAAUUAGAUCACACAUCAUGUAAUUAAUUAGUUUUUAAAACAAUAUCAAUAAUAAUAUAUAUUAUUUAAUAUAUUUAUUUUCAUUGCUUUAAAACUGUUUUUCAGUAGGCCAAUUUUUCAAUAUUGACCUUUACUUUGACUCCCAAGUAGCUAAUCACAAGGGUAUCUGCUGGUCUUGUUAAUAUUUUGCCUAAAGUAGACGAAACGUCCCAGCAUGCCAUCUACAGACUUUGAUCUGUUCUGCUGAAGUUCCGUGAAGUUCCUGAUUACAAAGUAUAAAUCAGUACCAUGCAUGACUCAAGUGUGGACAGAACAGCUACAGUUAUAAGGGUAAAAAAAGACUGCAGAGACUGACAGAACGCUACAAAUCAGCAGGCAUAAAUCAUAUUCCAGCCAGCCAAGAAUAAACUGGGAUAUGGGAACUUCCAAAUAACAGAAAAACCUCAUUACAAAGGUCCACCACCACCCCUGAAUCAUUUUAACAUUAUGCCAGGAUAUCGCUGGGAUGGAGUUGACAGGUCCAAUGGUUUUGAGCAGAAGUGGUACAGCAGGAUAGCCGAUAAGAAAGCUGUCCAAGAGAUGGCAUACAAGUGUAAUGUGGAAGACAUGUAGCUACAGAUACGUAUUUAGAGAUUCAUGAUAUAAAAACUGAAAUGACUGAGAUGAGUACAGUUCAUCACUGCACCUGCACACACUGCAGUGGAACAUUUUUGUGUUCCAUCAAAAACCAAGAUGUUUGUGUGGAGUUGUCAGUCCUACUGUGUACAAGAAACAUACUUUUCUUUUCUUUUUUUUAACAAAUGUGUAUUGUCUUGAUUUUCAUCAGCGCCAUUUCAAAACCAACAAUUUUAGUUAACAGAACAAAUUCUACACUGAUUAAAUGAUGCAGCACACAUUAUUGUUUUUUUGUUUAGUUUUUUUUGUGAGAAUUUUUUUAUUAUUAUUACCGAUGUCGAAAACAGUUGUGCUGCUUAAUAUUUAUGUGGAAACUGUGUAAGAUAGACAAGAAAACAUUUUAGUUUUAGAACAACUUUGUAUAUAUAUGUGUACAUACAUAUGCUAUGUUUACAUUUUAAAUACAUUUAUAUUACAAUAAACAAAGUAUAUUAUAUAAACAGAGUUUCUAAAGAUAUGAAAUGUCAUGUAAUACAGGAGAAAGAUAAAAAGUAAAGCUGAAUAACACAAAUGCUUGAUUUAAAGAAGAUUUUUUAAUUAUUUAUGCAUCCAUUGUAUAAAUGAACUUUGACGGUUUUCUCUGGCCUUCAACUGUCAGCUACAGCUGUUCUUUCAAGACGGGC